AGAUUGCAAAUCUAUAGAUGCGGGUGGUUCCGCCAAAACUUCAAGACAAUUUGAUUUGCACAAAUAUC
rnacentral:tRNA from 1 species